UACGUAGGGGGCUAGCGUUGUCCGGAAUCAUUGGGCGUAAAGCGCGUGUAGGCGGUCCGGUAAGUCCGCUGUGAAAGUCGAGGGCUCAACCCUCGAAUGCCGGUGGAUACUGUCGGGCUAGAGUACGGAAGAGGCGAGUGGAAUUCCUGGUGUAGCGGUGAAAUGCGCAGAUAUCAGGAGGAACACCAAUGGCGAAGGCAGCUCGCUGGGACGGUACUGACGCUGAGACGCGAAAGCGUGGGGAGCAAACAGG
rnacentral:rRNA from 1 species